GCUGGGUGCAGUGGCACGUGCCUGUAGUCCCAGCUGCUUGGGAGGCUGAGGCAGGAGGGUUGCUUGAACCCAGGAGUUGUAGGCUGUCGUAUGCUAUGAUGGUGUCCACCUUAAGUUCAGCAUCAAUAUGGUGACCUUCUGGGAGCGGGGACCACCAGAUUGCCUAUCUGGUUCAGGAGGGUGAACCAGCUCAGGUCAGAAACAGAACAGGUGAAAACUCCUCUGCUGAUCAAUAGUGAGAUCACACCUGUGAAUGGUGACUAGCCACUGCAUUCCAGCCUGGGCUGAGACCCUGUCUCU
ensembl:misc_RNA Metazoa_SRP Metazoan signal recognition particle RNA